AUUGAACGCUGGCGGCAGGCCUAACACAUGCAAGUCGAACGGUAACAGGAAACAGCUUGCUGUUUCGCUGACGAGUGGCGGACGGGUGAGUAAUGUCUGGGAAACUGCCUGAUGGAGGGGGAUAACUACUGGAAACGGUAGCUAAUACCGCAUAACGUCGCAAGACCAAAGAGGGGGACCUUCGGGCCUCUUGCCAUCGGAUGUGCCCAGAUGGGAUUAGCUAGUAGGUGGGGUAACGGCUCACCUAGGCGACGAUCCCUAGCUGGUCUGAGAGGAUGACCAGCCACACUGGGACUGAGACACGGUCCAGACUCCUACGGGAGGCAGCAGUGGGGAAUAUUGCACAAUGGGCGCAAGCCUGAUGCAGCCAUGCCGCGUGUAUGAAGAAGGCCUUCGGGUUGUAAAGUACUUUCAGCGGGGAGGAAGGGAGUAAAGUUAAUACCUUUACUCAUUGACGUUACCCGCAGAAGAAGCACCGGCUAACUCCGUGCCAGCAGCCGCCGUAA
rnacentral:rRNA from 1 species